CUGCACCGCCUCCUGUGUAAAAGGCUUCUUCCAUACGUAUACUCGCUGGAGGAGCCUUCGAGGUGAGGGUGCAGAUAUCGAUGGCUGAUCAACAAACGAAUCAGCGGGCGGCCAGACAACCGUCGGGAUGGAUCCACAGAUGAGCGCCGCCUCUUCUCUACGGCGCUUGUCUACUAAUUCCAUCUCAUAUUC
rnacentral:snoRNA from 1 species